AGGUUUGAAAGGAAAAGGGCAAAAAGCAAAAUGACUUAAGGGCAAAAACGAGGACGGGUAGGACAAGCUCCCCUUCACGAUUAAUACGAUCACAAAGAACUUAAAUUUUUCAUUCGGGGGCUCUCAGUCCCACACGAAAUUCGUUAUAAUACAAAGAACUAACUACUUCUAUGGAAUUCUACUACUGCCACCCGAGUCGGUCGGAUGGCUCGGACAUUUCCUGAGAAACGGGUAAGGAGCAGUGGAAUGCCACACAAAGGCUACACCAACCUUGUCACUCGAGCCGUCGAGGUAAGCGGCAUCAGCUUAACCCCUUCGGUUGUGGAAACCGCGGAUGGGGUGGUGCCUAAAAACCCGACCGAGGUAAUUUUACCAACCCUCCGUUUCCUUUCCCAUUGCAAGAGCAUUCAUUCAUUUCAUCCAUCCAUCCCAUGCAUUCAUACAUUCAUCUCAUUCAUAC
rnacentral:lncRNA from 1 species